GCAAAAGCACAAUGAUAGAAAUAAGCAGAAGAGUGAACGCACGAGCAAGGGUUAUGUCCAAGACCGGUCAGUCAGGCAAAAACGAGAGGAGGUCAAGACACCCACCCCUUUGAACAUUCCACGAACAAAGUUAUUGAUGGAGAUACAGCACAUGAAGGAGCUCGAAUGGCCCAAACCAAUGCUAACCCCUUCGGGCAAGAGAAAUCAAAGUAAAUACUGCCAUUUUCAUAGAGAUCACGGGCAUGAUACCGAAGAAUGCCUACAAUUAAAGGAAGAAAUUGAGCGCCUGCUGAGACGGGGGCUAUUGGCAAAGUAUGUGAAAAACGAUAAGAGCAGGCAAAGGGUCGA
rnacentral:lncRNA from 1 species